rnacentral:rRNA from 1 species
GAUGAACGCUGGCGGCGUGCCUAAUACAUGCAAGUCGAGCGAACAGACGAGGAGCUUGCUCCUCUGACGUUAGCGGCGGACGGGUGAGUAACACGUGGAUAACCUACCUAUAAGACUGGGAUAACUUCGGGAAACCGGAGCUAAUACCGGAUAAUAUAUUGAACCGCAUGGUUCAAUAGUGAAAGACGGUUUUGCUGUCACUUAUAGAUGGAUCCGCGCCGCAUUAGCUAGUUGGUAAGGUAACGGCUUACCAAGGCAACGAUGCGUAGCCGACCUGAGAGGGUGAGCGGCCACACUGGAACUGAGACACGGUCCAGACUCCUACGGGAGGCAGCAGUAGGGAAUCUUCCGCAAUGGGCGAAAGCUUGACGGAGCAACGCCGCGUGAGUGAUGAAGGUCUUCGGAUCGUAAAACUCUGUUAUUAGGGAAGAACAAAUGUGUAAGUAACUAUGCACGUCUUGACGGUACAUAAUCAGAAAGCCACGGCUAACUACGUG